UUAGAUACUGUAAUAAUACAAUUUUUUGUCUUGGGGGUACUUUGUGUACAAAUAUACACCACUGAAUUUGAUAUUGGUGGUUUUUGGACCUGGGCAUGGCAGAGCUAAUGUUGUUUAUUGCAAUUUUUUUAUGUUGAAUUCUGAAAUUUACUAAUUCUUUUUUUUUUUUUUUUUUUUUUUUUUGUUUCAGCUCUGUUGGGAUAUUUCUUUUUACCUAUUAUUCACCUACUUAAGGUUGCUCUAUUAUUAAUAUUUUUUUUCAACAUCAUUCUCUCUCUUUUAGUUUACGUUUCUCACUCACUUACUAUGUUCACAGUCACAUUUAUUUCCUUCCUGUCUUUGCUCUUUAUGUCGUGGAUUUGCAGCAUUGUUUCGAGAACAGACGACUAGACACUGUUGAUGCAACAUCUAGGCAACAAAGCACUAUCGGAACCCGCACAAUUUUGUGCCAUGCGUUGUUGUUUUGCUUCUUUUAGUGGUUGUGUGCAGCUGCUGUUGC